UACGUAGGGGGCAAGCGUUGUCCGGAAUCAUUGGGCGUAAAGAGCGUGUAGGCGGCCCGAUAAGUCCGCUGUGAAAGUCCAGGGCUCAACCCUGGAAUGCCGGUGGAUACUGUCGGGCUAGAGUGCGGAAGAGGCGAGUGGAAUUCCCGGUGUAGCGGUGAAAUGCGCAGAUAUCGGGAGGAACACCAAUUGCGAAGGCAGCUCGCUGGGACGUAACUGACGCUGAGACGCGAAAGCGUGGGGAGCAAACAGGG
rnacentral:rRNA from 1 species